GCAUAUCAAUAAGCGGAGGAAAAGAAACCAACAGGGAUUGCCUCAGUAACGGCGAGUGAAGCGGCAAAAGCUCAAAUUUGAAAUCUGGCUUCUUCGGAGCCCGAGUUGUAAUUUGUAGAGGAUGCUUCGGGCGUGGCCGCGGUCUAAGUCCCCUGGAACGGGGCGUCGCAGAGGGUGAGAAUCCCGUCUUCGGCCGGCCGGCUUCGCCCGUGUGAAGCUCCUUCGACGAGUCGAGUUGUUUGGGAAUGCAGCUCUAAAUGGGUGGUAAAUUUCAUCUAAAGCUAAAUACUGGUCGGAGACCGAUAGCGCACAAGUAGAGUGAUCGAAAGAUGAAAAGCACUUUGAAAAGAGAGUUAAACAGCAUGUGAAAUUGUUGAAAGGGAAGCGCUUGCGACCAGAGUCGGCCGCGGGGGUUCAGCGGGCAUUCGUUGCCCGUGCACUCCCCCGGGGCCGGGCCAGCGUCGGUUUCGACGGCCGGUCAAAGGCCCCCGGAAUGUGUCGCCUCUCGGGGCGUCUUAUAGCCGGGGGUGCAAUGCGGCCAGUCGGGACCGAGGAACGCGCUUCGGCACGGACGCUGGCUUAAUGGUCGUAAGCGACCCGUCUUGAAACACGGACC
rnacentral:rRNA from 1 species